rnacentral:rRNA from 1 species
CUUCCUACGGGAGGCAGCAGUGGGGAAUAUUGGGCAAUGGGCGCAAGCCUGACCCAGCAACGCCGCGUGAAGGAAGAAGGCUUUCGGGUUGUAAACUUCUUUUAAGAGGGACGAAGGAAGUGACGGUACCUCUUGAAUAAGCCACGGCUAACUACGUGCCAGCAGCCGCGGUAAUACGUAGGUGGCAAGCGUUCUCCGGAUUUAUUGGGUGUAAAGGGCGUGUAGGCGGGAGGGCAAGUCAGAUGUGAAAACUC